CCUAGGGGUGGCAGCAGUGGGGGAUAUUGCACAAUGGGGGAAACCCUGAUGCAGCGACGCCGCGUGUGUGAAGAAGUAUUUCGGUAUGUAAAGCCCUAUCAGCAGGGAAGAAAGAAGACGGUACCUGACUAAGAAGCCCCGGCUAACUACGUGCCAGCAGCCGCGGUAAUACGUAGGGGGCGAGCGUUAUCCGGAUGCACUGGGUGUAAAGGGAGCGUAGACGGCCGUGCAAGCCAGGAGUGAAAGCCCGGGGCCCAACCCCGGGACUGCUCUUGGAACUGUGCGGCUGGAGUGCGGGAGGGGCAGGCGGAAUUCCUGGUGUAGCGGUGAAAUGCGUAGAUAUCAGGAGGAACACCGGCGGCGAAGGCGGCCUGCUGGACCGCGACUGACGUUGAGGCUCGAAAGCGUGGGGAGCGAACAGGAUUAGAUACCCGUGUAGUC
rnacentral:rRNA from 1 species